AUGCAGCUAGUUACGGGUGGGCACACGGCGGUGGUGGUUAAUGGUCAGACUAGUAACUUCUUUGCUAAUGGUAGGGGCCUAAGGCAAGGAGAUCCGACGUCCCCUCUGCUUUUUAACUUCAUUGCGGAUGCCCUGUCCCAUAUCCUUUCUCGGGCGGCUGAUGCCGGCCACAUUUUGCCUGUUAGCUCCCACCUUAUCCCCAAUGGCAUUACUCACCUUCAAUAUGCGGACGAUACCAUUAUUAUGGUGGAAUUGAAUGAGGCCUGCCUCACGAACCUGAAGUUUAUACUCUUAUGUUUCGAAGUGCUUUCGGGGCUUAAAAUUAAUUUCUCUAAGAGUGAAGUGAUUGUAACUGGGGUACAUGAUGUGGAAGCACAGAGAGUGGCACACCUCCUGAACUGCUCUCUAGGAUCUUACCCUCUCAAAUAUUUAGGCUUACCAAUUUCCCCUCUCAAACUUUUGGCAAAAGAUUUCGCUCCGGCAGUGACUAAGGUUGGUAAUAGAGUUAUGUCGUGGAGAGGUCAGUAUAAUUCCCAGGCGGGCAAGGUUGCCCUUACUAAUGUGUGCCUCUCCUCCCUUCCAAUGUUUCUAAUGGGCUUCUAUCUCCUGUCUGGAGGGAUUCAUGCCGGUUUCGAUAAGCAUAGGGGUGCCUUUUAUUGGAAUUCCACUGACAAUAAGCGCAAAUACAGAAUGAUCAAGUGA
rnacentral:rRNA from 1 species